rnacentral:lncRNA from 1 species
UUUUCUACAACUUCAUAUGAGACUUGAGCUUUUUUCAUGUAUUUUUUUAUGGUUAUGGGUUAUAUAAUACAUGAAACCAUCUCGCAUAUAACGUAUGAAAGGUAUAGGUUAUGGUUAUGGUUUUUGGCUAUGGAUUGUUUUUCUCUUCUUUUUCACAUCUUCAUAAUAAAGAUGCAAUCAAGGUUAUGGGUUGUUGAUUUCAUGGUUUCUUCUUUUUCUUCGUCUUCAUCAUCUUCUUCCAUCUUCACAUAUCUGAACCUUAGCGCUCUGAUGCCACUGAUA